rnacentral:rRNA from 1 species
GACGAACGCUGGCGGCGUGCUUAACACAUGCAAGUCGAACGGAAAGGCCCUGCUUUUGUGGGGUGCUCGAGUGGCGAACGGGUGAGUAACACGUGAGUAACCUGCCCUUGACUUUGGGAUAACUUCAGGAAACUGGGGCUAAUACCGGAUAGGAGCUCCUGCUGCAUGGUGGGGGUUGGAAAGUUUCGGCGGUUGGGGAUGGACUCGCGGCUUAUCAGCUUGUUGGUGGGGUAGUGGCUUACCAAGGCUUUGACGGGUAGCCGGCCUGAGAGGGUGACCGGCGACAAGGGGACUGAGAGACGGCGCAGAAGGCUACGGGAGGCAGCAGGGGGGAAUAUGGCACAAUGGGCGGAAGCCUGAGGCAGCAACGCCGCGUGCGGGAUGACGGCCUUCGGGUUGUAAACAGCUGUCGCCUGUGACGAAGCGUGAGUGACGGUAAUGGGUAAAGAAGCACCGGCUAACUACGUG